UGGGGAAUAUUGCACAAUGGGCGCAAGCCUGAUGCAGCAACGCCGCGUGAGGGAUGACGGCCUUCGGGUUGUAAACCUCUUUUAGUAGGGAAGAAGCGAAAGUGACGGUACCUGCAGAAAAAGCACCGGCUAACUACGUGCCAGCAGCCGCGGUAAUACGUAGGGUGCGAGCGUUGUCCGGAAUUAUUGGGCGUAAAGAGCUCGUAGGCGGUCUGUCGCGUCUGCUGUGAAAACCCGAGGCUCAACCUCGGGCCUGCAGUGGGUACGGGCAGACUAGAGUGCGGUAGGGGAGAAUGGAAUUCCUGGUGUAGCGGUGGAAUGCGCAGAUAUCAGGAGGAACACCGAUGGCGAAGGCAGUUCUCUGGGCCGUAACUGACGCUGAGGAGCGAAAGCGUGGGGAGCGAACAGGAUUAGAUACCCUGGUAGUCCACGCCGUAAACGUUGGGCGCUAGAUGUGGGGACCAUUCCACGGUUUCCGUGUCGCAGCUAACGCAUUAAGCGCCCCGCCUGGGGAGUACGGCCGCAAGGCUAAAACUCAAAGGAAUUGAC
rnacentral:rRNA from 1 species